rnacentral:rRNA from 1 species
AAUAAAAAUAUUUUUUUUUUUAGUAUUUUGAACAAAUAUUUUUUUAUUAUAGUUUAUUUAACUGUGAAGGUUAAUUAUUUUUUUAAUAGAAGUAGUCUUGUUUUGAUGUACCUUUUGCAUCAGGGUUUAUUAAUUUAAAAUAAAUAUUUAUUUUUCUCGAAAUUUUGAGUUUAAAAUUAAGAUGUUUUUUAUUGUUUUAUAUAUAUAUAUAAUCUUAUUUUAGAGGUGAUAUACUUUACAUUCAAAAUUAUAUCUAGUUUUUUAAUAAUUGAAUUUAAUUCAUUUUAUAUAAGAAUUUUUUAAUUAAAUUAUUAUAUUUUUAUAUAAGUAAAUCAGUUAAGGAUAAGCUAAAUUGAUUUUUUAAAAUUUAUUUUAUUUUAAAUUUUUUAUAGGAUUGAUAAUUUUCAUUUUUAUUUUGUUACAAUUAUACUUUUAUUUAUAAAAUUUUUUUUAUUUUAAUUUUUUAUUAAAUUGAUGACUUUAAUAUUUUAAGUUCUUUUAUAAUGAUAAAAUUAGUAAUUUUGUUAAUUUAAGUAUAGGAAUUCGGCAAAAUUAAUUUUCACCUGUUUAACAAAAACAUGGUUUUUUGAUUUUAAUUUAAGAUCAGGCCUGCCCAUUGAUUUAUAAGAAUUAAAAGGCUGCGGUAUUUUAACUGUACGAAGGUAGCAUAAUCAUUUGUCUUUUAAUUGGAGGCUAGAAUGAAUGGUUCGAUGAAAAAUUAUCUUUCUUUAUUUAAUUUUUUUGAAUUUAAUUUUUCGAUUAAAAAGUCGAAAUUUUUUUAUAGGACGAGAAGACCCUAUAGAAAUUUAUUUUUUUUAUAAAUUUUUCUUUUUAGUUUUUGUUGGAUUUUUUUAGAAUGGAAAAUUUUGUUGGGGUGACAGUAAAAUUUAAAAAACUUUUAUUUAUUUAUUUCAUUAAUUUAUGUUUUGAUCCAGUUUUAUUGAUUAAAAGAUUAAUUUACCUUAGGGAUAACAGCGUUAUUUUCUUGGAGAGUUCUUAUCAAUAAGAAAGUUUGCGACCUCGAUGUUGAAUUAAGAUAAGUUUUGGGUGCAGUUUUUCAAAAUUCUUGGUCUGUUCGACCAUUAAAUUCUUACAUGAUUUGAGUUCAGACCGGUGUGAGCCAGGUCGGUUUCUAUCCUUAUAUUUUUUGAAAUUUAGUACGAAAGGACCAUUUUCAACAAUUAAAAUUGUUUUUUAGAAUAAAAUUAAUU